GUCUCUUUGCUAUAAUAGGUAUAAAGAGUCGGACCUGCCCAGUGAUACGUUAAACGGCCGCAGUACCCUGACUGUGCAAAGGUAGCAUAAUAACUUGUUUUUUAAUUGAAGAAUAGAAUCAACGGUUUGACAAGAGUACAACUGUCUCUUUUUUUUUAGCUAAAAUUUAUCUUUAUAGUUAAAAGACUAAAAUUUAUACUGAAAGACGAGAAGACCCUAUCGAGCUUUAAAUAAUAAAAUUAAAGUACUAAAAUAUCUAUUGAAAUUAUAUUUGAUUAUUUUUUUUUGGUUGGGGCGACCGUGGAGCCAAGGAAACCUCCAUUGUUUAAAUAAAUUGGUACUGAUCCAGUAUUUUUGAAGAAAGAAAAAGUUACCGUAGGGAUAACAGCGUAAUAUUUUUGGGGAGAUCUCAUCGAAAAAAAUGAUUGCGACCUCGAUGUUGGAUUAGAAAAUCCUUAAGGUGUAGAUGCUUUAUGUGGUCAGUCUGUUCGACUGUUAAAUUUCU
rnacentral:rRNA from 1 species